GAUGAACGCUAGCGGCAGGCCUAAUACAUGCAAGUCGAACGGUGUAGCAAUACACAGUGGCGCACGGGUGCGUAACACGUAUGCAACCUACCUUACAUUGGGGGAUAGCCUUUCGAACGGGAGAUUAAUACCGCAUAAGACAGUAACUAGGCAUCUAGUAGCUGUUAAAGAUUUAUCGAUGUAAGCUGGGCAUGCGUCCAAUUAGUUAGUUGGCGAGGUAAUGGCUCACCAAGACGAUGAUUGGUAGGGGAACUGAGAGGUCAAUCCUCCACACUGGCACUGAGAUACGGGCCAGACUCCUACGGGAGGCAGCAGUAGGGAAUAUUGGGCAAUGUGCGCAAGCCUGACCCAGCCAUGCCGCGUGCAGGAAGAAGGCGUUAUGCGUUGUAAACUGCUUUUAUACAGGAAGAAACGACCCUUGCGAGGGGCAUUGACGGUACUGUAUGAAUAAGCACCGGCUAACUCCGUGCCAGCCGCCGCCGUAACAC
rnacentral:rRNA from 1 species